UUCUUAUCCAGAGAGGUGGAGGGAAAGGCCCUUUGAAACCUCGGCAACGGGUUCCACGUGAAUACCGUGCCAAUUCCAACAGGCAGUGUCCUGGCAGAUGAGAA
rnacentral:ncRNA from 2 species